GAUGAACGCUAGCGGGAGGCCUAACACAUGCAAGCUGAGCGGUAUUUCUUCUUCGGAAGAGAGAGAGCGGCGUACGGGUGCGGAACACGUGUGCAACCUGCCUUUAUCUAGAGGAUAGCCUUUCGAAAGGAAGAUUAAUACUCUAUAAUAUAUUAAUUGGCAUCAAUUGAUAUUGAAAACUCCGGUGGAUAUAGAUGGGCACGCGCAAGAUUAGCUAGUUGGUGAGGUAACGGCUCACCAAGGCAAUGAUCUUUAGGGGGCCUGAGAGGGUGAUCCCCCACACUGGUACUGAGACACGGACCAGACUCCUACGGGAGGCAGCAGUGAGGAAUAUUGGUCAAUGGGUGCAAGCCUGAACCAGCCAUCCCGCGUGAAGGAUUAAGGUCCUAUGGAUUGUAAACUUCUUUUGUAUAGGGAUAAACCUACCCUCGUGAGGGUAGCUGAAGGUACUAUACGAAUAAGCACCGGCUAACUUCGUGCCAGCAGCCGCCGUAAGAC
rnacentral:rRNA from 1 species